ACCAGACUCCUACGGGAGGCAGCAGUGGGGGAUAUUGCACAAUGGGGGGAACCCUGAUGCAGCGACGCCGCGUGGGUGAAGAAGUAUUUCGGUAUGUAAAGCCCUAUCGGCAGGGAAGAAUUUAGACGGUACCUGACUAAGAAGCCCCGGCUAACUACGUGCCAGCAGCCGCGGUAAUACGUAGGGGGCAAGCGUUAUCCGGAUUCACUGGGUGUAAAGGGAGCGUAGACGGCCAUGCAAGCCUGGAGUGAAAGCCCGGGGCCCAACCCCGGGACUGCUCUUGGAACUGCGUGGCUGGAGUGCAGGAGGGGCAGGCGGAAUUCCUGGUGUAGCGGUGAAAUGCGUAGAUAUUAGGAGGAACACCAGUGGCGAAGGCGGCUUACUGGACGGUAACUGACGUUGAGGCUCGAAAGCGUGGGUAGCAAACAGGAUUAGAUACCCGAGUA
rnacentral:rRNA from 1 species